rnacentral:misc_RNA from 1 species
CUCUGUUUUCAGCCUUCGCUUGCAUGCUUGCUUGCAUGUAUCAAUGUAUAUUGGUAAUUGUAUGUGCUUGUAUGGAUAUAUAACCAAUAUAAUAAUGUAAUGUGAUUUUUUGUCAUUUACAGUACAACAAAAUAGAUUUUGCUUGUAAGCAGUUAGCGCAUUGAAGGAUAGAAGAGCACAACAUAACACCAUGGGUAAAGCUCGCCGCGCCCGUCAGAAGCUGCACUUGCCGGCGUCCGGCGUGCCGCGCCGCCCGGAGCCCGAUGCCGAGGCGGUGCCUGAGGCUGUUCCGGUGGCCGCCCCGCCGCCCCCGAGCGGCGCCAGUCCGUUCGCCGGUCUGCAGAUUCCUCCGGAGGCGCUGCGCCAGAGGCUGCCCGACUUUGACGCGCGCUCGGUGCGCAGCGAGACGGCACGCUCCGUGCGCAGCACAAAGUCCACCGUGCGCGGACAGGCGGCCAUGAAGAAAAAGGACAAACGGAAAGUGCGCCGCGAGGCCUUCAUGCAGAAGUUGGACUCAGUGAUGGAGUCUCUGCGCAGCGCGCGCGCGGCCAAGCGGCGCCGCGCCACGGCCGUGGUGGGGGACAUGCGGCCACUCGCCGACGCGCUGCCCGACCCGGUGCUACUGGAGAAGGAGCGAGCAGCCAAAAAGGCAGCCGCCCAGCAGCGCCGGCAGCCCAGCCAGAAGCGGCGCGGCAUGCCCAAACAGAAGGCCCUCCACAAACAAUAGUAAGUGGACGGCCUUGGAACGGAUGGGAGCUGGUUAGACGGGCAUAACGCUGAUAUACCUGUGUGUCUCUGUUUCAGAUGUGUGCCCAGCAUUCAAUACAUUAAUACAUGAUUGAAAUGUGCAACUUGCCUAUCUAUGCUGGGCACACAUCUUCAGCCGCGUUGUCGCUCCCGCCGACGCCGACGACAGAAAUUGCACGCCAACUUGCCUAUCUACUGCCUGUCGGACAUCGCCCAGUUUCAGCGGGUACUGGAGCACCCCAUCUACCAGGAGGACCCCGAGGGCAUUGUCUCGGAGCACGUGCAGCAGUGGGUGCUCAAGGACGCAGAGGGUAUGGAGGUGUAGCGGCUGUGGUGUGAUACAGUGCGCUCCAACUGUGUACCGACUCAUGCAUGCGUGGCGAGAUGCGCUUUGUGUCGAGGCGUCGCAGUGUGGACACGGGUUGGGAGGACUGUUACGUGUUUUGGUGAGUGUGGAAGACGUUUCACCAGGCCCAUCAGGAUGAGCCGGAGUUUCUUAUUUGUGUUGUCUCGGUGCAACAGUGUUGGGACAUAUCGUUCCAGCCGUAAUUGAUAACAUUUCGGAUGCUCGAGUUAUACCCAGCGGCCCAGUUCAUCGGCCUCAGUGGGUUUAUGAGUGGAACAAGCAGUACCUGUGUAUCAGCCAGGCUAGUAAGCUGACCCGGGGUUAGCGUCCCUUGCCUCUGAAUGUUACCAGCCAUGUGAUGAGCACCAACCAGGCUCUCUGGCCAUCAUUAGGGUUGGGUGGAGCUAAUAGCGGAACGUGUUCCUUGGGAUGUGCUACAACGUGGUAAUCCUGAACAUGCAGUUUGCAUUGCCUGAUUUAUGUUGUCAAAGCUGAAUGACUAAGAGGGACGCCGUACGCCUUUUUUUUUACCCCGGGGCGGGGCAGAUGGGUGCUGUGCUGGAUAAACGGAUUCCGAACCUUUUUGCGACCCAAGGAAGGACGCGGGUCUCUAGGGAUUGCCUCAGUGGGAUGCUGCUGGGGUGCGGGUCUGCACCACGUCCGUUUACUUUUGAAGAGGUGUCGUAAAAUACAACUGGUUCAUGUGACA